rnacentral:misc_RNA from 1 species
GAAAUGCGAUAAGUAAUGUGAAUUGCAGAAUUCAGUGAAUCAUCGAAUCUUUGAACGCACAUUGCGCCCGCCAGCAUUCUGGCGGGCAUGCCUGUUCGAGCGUCAUUUCAACCCUCAGAACCCCUUGCGGGAUCUGGCGUUGGGGAUUGGCAUCCAGCCAGCCCCGAAAUCUAGUGGCGGUCCCUCCGCGACCUCCCCUGUGCAGUAGCGAUACCUCGCAGCGGGACAGCGGUCUGACCACGCCGUAAAACCCCCAACUUCUCAAGGUUGACCUCGAAUCAGGUAGGAAUACCCGCUGAACUUUAGC